UACGGAGGGUGCGAGCGUUAAUCGGAAUUACUGGGCGUAAAGGGUGCGUAGGUGGUUAUAUAAGUUAGCUGUGAAAUACCUGGGCUUAACCUGGGAAGGUCAGCUAAGACUGUGUGACUUAGAGUAUAGGAGAGGGUAGUGGAAUUUCCGGUGUAGCGGUGAAAUGCGUAGAGAUCGGAAGGAACACCAGUGGCGAAGGCGGCUACCUGGCCUAAUACUGACACUGAGGCACGAAAGCGUGGGGAGCAAACAGG
rnacentral:rRNA from 1 species